GCCGCGUGAGUGAAGAAGGCCUUCGGGUUGUAAAGCUCUUUUGUCAGGAAAGAAACACCGGUUCUAACACAGUCCGGGNAAUGACGGUACCUGAAGAAUAAGCACCGAGCUAACUACGUGCCAGCAGCCGCGGUAAUACGUAGGGUGCGAGCGUUAAUCGGAAUUACUGGGCGUAAAGCGUGCGCAGGCGGUUAUACAAGACAGGCGUGAAACCCCGGGCUUAACUUGGGAAUGGCGCCUGUGACUGUAUAGCUAGAGUGUGUCAGAGGGGGGUAGAAUUCCACGUGUAGCAGUGAAAUGCGUAGAUAUGUGGAGGAAUACCAAUGGCGAAGGCAGCCCCCUGGGAUAACACUGACGCUCAUGCACGAAAGCGUGGGGAGCAAACAGGAUUAGAUACCCUGGUAGUCCACGCCCUAAACGAUGCUGACUAGUUGUUCGGGAUUUACAUCCUGAGUAACGUAGCUAACGCGUGAAGUCAGCCGCCUGGGGAGUACGGUCGCAAGAUUAAAACUCAAAGGAAUUGACGGGGACCCGCACAAGCGGUGGAUGAUGUGGAUUAAUUCG
rnacentral:rRNA from 1 species